rnacentral:rRNA from 1 species
GUGGGGAAUUUUGGACAAUGGGCGCAAGCCUGAUCCAGCAAUGCCGCGUGCAGGAAGAAGGCCUUCGGGUUGUAAACUGCUUUUGUACGGAACGAAACGGUCCUGGCUAAUAUCCGGGGCUAAUGACGGUACCGUAAGAAUAAGCACCGGCUAACUACGUGCCAGCAGCCGCGGUAAUACGUAGGGUGCGAGCGUUAAUCGGAAUUACUGGGCGUAAAGCGUGCGCAGGCUGUGCUGUAAGACAGGCGUGAAAUCCCCGGGCUCAACCUGGGAAUUGCGCUUGUGACUGCAGUGCUGGAGUGCGGCAGAGGGGGAUGGAAUUCCGCGUGUAGCAGUGAAAUGCGUAGAUAUGCGGAGGAACACCGAUGGCGAAGGCAAUCCCCUGGGCCUGCACUGACGCUCAUGCACGAAAGCGUGGGGAGCAAACAGGAUUAGAUACCCGUGUAGUCC